rnacentral:lncRNA from 1 species
UUUUCUUUUUGGCUUUUAAAAUAACCUUUAUUUUUUAAAAGUUAAGAUGUGCAUUAUAGGAAACUGAAAAACGCAAGAAGCAAAGAACAAAGUCAUUCACAAUCACAGGCAGUUUAUAGUUUGACAUGCUCUUCUAGGUCCUGUGCGUGUGUAGGCACAACAUCCAAUUUUAUGGCACUGAGAUUGUACAGUAUGUAUCAUGAUUUUUCACACAUCAUGAAUAUUUACCAAUUCAAAAUCCUAAAGCUAUAUGAGUAUUCUGAUAACCAAGAAUACACUACACCAACUCAAACUGUUAAAAGAAAAUGUAAUCCUGCCUUUCUUGGGACAAAAAUUUCAUGAGAUCAUGUUUUAAAUGGAGAAAGAAAAAGGAGAAAGCCAGAAACUUGAAUUCGCUCAAUUACUCAGGAAACUUUAACCAAAAAGCUCAGACAAAUUAAGGCUGACCUUAAUUGAUCUGUUUAGAUGUUAACCUUUAGAAAAAAUCUGUAUACAUACAAAGAGUAUAUACAUUUGUGGCUUUGAACAAACAUUUAUGAUUCACGGAAGGUGAUGACUGCUUUGGCAAAAUGGCAUGGUUCAGUUUGAAGUCCAGCAGCUCUAUUCAUCCGUUGUGUGACCUUGGCACUUGGUCCCAGGGUCCCUUCCACCCUUUCUGGGUGAGUGCACAGAGGCGGACCAAAGUGCCAGUUCCAGACCCCAUUUCUUGGCUGCUUGGCUCUUGAGGCACCCGACUUUCUGACUUGUCGGGGGCAUCCAGGUUUGACGGCUUGGUUGGCCCUCAAGGAUGCCUCUUGGCUGACUGGGUUCUGUUUUCUUUAGUUCUCAACUUUCCUUGGUUUCUUAAUUUCAAUGUUAUGUCAUCCCUUGGGAUCCUGUUGGCCAGGCCCAUCCCUGUAGGAGGGUUGACCUCAGCUUUCUUAUUUUUCUCCCUUUCUUCCUUUCCUCCUUCACAUGUAAGAUGAGAUGGUUGGACUGGACCAACUCUAGAAUCCCUUCCCGCUCUGACUGCUCCAUGGUCUGAUGAAGGUGGCCACUGAGACAUUUGGGCAGGGGCCCCUCUCGAAAACCAUGGAGACAUUUCAGCAGAGGCCUCAAAGGCAGAACAAAAUAGUGCAAGGAGCCGCACAUCCGCACAGUGCUGAGACCCUGCCCAGGACAAGCUUGAUCCUGGCACCCAAGUGACAACCUGCAUUGAAAAGGCGGAACUUGGCUCUCCUGCCCUGCCAGCUGUAAGAGCUUGAAAGCAAAGCUAUGGGGGGAAUGUCUUUCAUUUCCCCCUGGAAGCUGGGAGGACGUUCAGCUUAGCAUUGCCAACUGUGUAAUGUGGACUUGCCUCUAAAAGAAGCCUUUUUCCUUGGAUGUCUUUCAGGCCGCAGUAUUCCCUUUGGCACCCCCACCCACCUGGAACAAAGCCUGAUGUAAAGUCUGGGUGCGACUCAGACCGGCCUGGGAAAGAAUUUAUUUAAUAAAUGGUGGAAAGUGGCUUC